rnacentral:ribozyme from 13 species
ACAUAUACUAACCAAGAAAAAGAAUAACCAAUAGACCACGUCGUGUCAUGCAACAGCUUUUCCCUCUCUUUUUUCUCAAUUCUUUCUUUUUUGCCUUGCUUGCUAGUAUUUCUUCUACACGGGCACAAAGGUAAGAUCCGUUUG